CUCUCCUCCUGUCUGCCUGCCCCUUCUCAGUUUCCUUUACCGAGUUACUCUUCUCUGCUGUGCACUACAUGUAGGUGUUUCCCAGGGCUCUGCCUGAAAUAUCAAAGUAUAUCUAUUGAGGUCUUCUAUUUAAAAGAAGUAAUUGCCACGUGGAACUUCACUACUGUGGCAAGAUCAAGACUGGAUCUAGGAGAUCUCAGUUCAAUAUGGAGAUUAUCCAAGGAUUCUAGUGUUGGAGCUAUAUGCUGUAACUGAAGAGGGUUAAAAUUGUCUCCUUUUGGGACGCUGAAACAUAUAGAAGGCUGCCCGGGAAGAGCAGGGCAGAACUUACAUUCUCGUUGGUCAGCUUCCUGGAGAAAGAAGAAGGCCAGAGUGAAGCCAGAUUAGGAAGCAACAUGAAGCCAUGAAACAUAGUGAACAAUUCCAUGUUUAUGGAAGAAAAUUCUGGUAGUUAACUUACUUCAAACCGAAGAGCCAAGGAGUAGAAUCAUUACCUCAAGCGAUAUUGCCAGGGAAAAUCCUGACACAGAGAAGACAAGCUCAAUGCUUGAUGUGAAAAGUUAUCUGCACACACAGAACCAGUCCAUAAUACAACACUGUUCACCAUAGUGAAGUUAUGGAAUCAACCAAGGUGAUUAUCAAAAGGGGAAUGGAUUUAAAAAAAUGUGGUAGAUAUAGACCUUAGAAUCCUAUGCUGCCAUGAAAGAGAACAAAAUCAUGUACUUUGAGGCAACAGCAUGGAUGCAGCUGGAAGCCAUUAUCCCAAGUGAAUUAACAGAGGAACAGUAAACCAAACAACACAUGGUCUCAUUUAAAAGUGGGAGCUAAACAUUGGGUACUCAUGGACAUAAAGAUGGAAAAAUAGAUUACAAGGACUAACAGAAUUGAAAUACUGAUGAGUAGUAUCCUCACUGUCUGGGACACAGGAUCAUUUGGACUGCAAACCUCAACAUCAUGCAACAUACCCACGUAACAAGCCUGUACAUGUACCUCCUGAAUCUACAAAAAAAUUUUUGACUUUUUUUUUUUUUUUAAGAAUUUGCUGGAAAAACUCUUCUUCAAAGUCUUCCAAAAGCAUUUUAACUUUUUAUUUAUAUUUAGAAAUUCAAGCCAUCUAAAAUGAAAUCUUGCAUAUGGUCUGACAUAGGUGCCAACAUUAUUUUUAUAUAUAUGUCCAGUUUAGGAGGCAUUAUUUAUUGAGAAGAUGAAGCUUCCUCUAUGGCUCUACAGUUUCUCCCUUGUCAUAGAUUAGGUUUAUCCAUUUUUGUGGGUUUGUUUGUAAACCCUGUAUUCUGUUCCAGUGGUCUAUUUAUCAACCCUUGUUUCAAUCCACAAUGUUUACUUAGUAAAGUGUUGUAAGAUGAUUUUUAGCUAAUAGUAUAAAAUCUCUGAUUUGUAAUUAUUCGAGGUUGACUUUAUUAUUUCCUGCUUUGCAUUUCUACAUAAUUUUUAGAAUCAGCUUGUCAUUUCCCAUCCCCUAUAAAAAAACACUACCAUUUUUAUUGGGAUUAUGUUGCAUCUAUAUAUACAAGAGAAUUGUCUUCUAAUUCAUAAAUAUAGUAUAUCCCAAUUUAUUUUAUCUGUUCUAAUAUCUCUUAACAAUGGUUUAUUUUCUACUUGAAGUUUUGACUUAGCCUUCAUUAGAUCCACGCCAUUAUAAAUGGUAUCAUAAAAAAAAGCUUUCUAGUUGUUUGUUGCUAGUAUAUAUGUAACUACAAUUUAUUUUUAUACUAGUUUCAGUAUAGUCCAGUAGAGUGAUCAGCUCAAUUAACUAAUCCCGAUAAUUUGAGGUAUUUUUUUUUUUAAUUUUCUAUGAAAAAAAAUCAUGUCUGCACAUAAGGUGAUUUUUAUUUCUGCAAUAUAAUUAUUUGGCUUAUUGUACAGGCCAGGCUUUUUCAGAUAAUUAUUAACGGGUCAUAGGAGAUAUCUUUAUCUCAUUACAGAAGUCAUAUAUCUUCCCUUAUUUCACCAUAAAAUCUAAUAUUUCUUUUCAUUUUUAAAAUAAAUGCCUUGUUUCAGACUAAGAAAAUUCUAUGUUAUUUCUAGUUUUCUGUUAUUUAACAUUACAAAUGGGUUUUGAGAUUAUUAUGAUAAUUCUCCUUUUUCGUUAAUUUAGAAAAUUGUAUUAAUUGAUCUAAAAAUUUUAAGCCACCCUUGAAGUACUGGAAUCAGUUCAUUUUUUUAAAUUUACAUUGUAUUUUUAUUAAUUGAUAAAUUUUUCUUGAUAAUAUUUUGUUUACCAUUGUACCUAGUCAUGAAAGAUAUUAUAUUUUUAGGAUGUUGGUAUCAAGGUUAUGCUGGACUCAUAAAAAUAAUGUGGCAUAUUCUCAGUUUAUAAAAGUGGCUAUUUAGGACUGGUAUAAUUUAUUAUUUGUUUAAAGGUUUUCAUAUGGAGUUUCUUCUGGAUAUGGAGUUUUAUUCAGAUAAUUGUUUUAAUUAGAUUCAAUUCUAAUAGGUUUCUAAAUUUCAUUCUAAUUUUUUUUUUAUUUCUUCUAUCGGUUUUGGAAAUCUGUGUUUUUUCUUAGAAUUUUAUUUAAUUUUUUCUAUUUAUUGGCAUAAAUUUGUUUACAAUAUUCUGAUUUUUUUGAUUAUGUAUUCCCACAAUCACCCUGUGAAACAAACUACCUUAAGAUUUACCGGCUUAAAAC